GCCUUAAAAAUUGGUGUGUGAAUGCAAUGAUGCCGUAACUUAAAGAUUUUUUGUCCUCGUGACUGCACCUUGUUAUCCAAGUUUUCUGCAAUAACAAAGAUCAUGGCAAUAUUGAAACCAUCACUGCAAUUUAAAAUGUUGCCUAUAACAUAUACAUGCGAAUUGUUUCUCAGGGUACAAAAUUUAUUGUGUUUUAUUGCAUGCAAGAAGUGAUAAUAAGAAGAUCAAAGUUUUGAUCGGUUUUCAUUUUCAAUUGCAGUUACUUCUCUCAUCUUCGAUGGAUAAAACAGUCAGAUUGUGGGAUUUGGAAACUAAGACUUGCUUGAACAUGUUUGCCCAUAAUGACUAUGGUGAGGGUGAAAUGCUUGACUCUGGUCUAUUAUUUAAAUAUUCUAUAUGAUUUUUAAGCCUUAGGAUGGUAUGCAUGUGUUGGAAAUAAGAAAGAAAAAUCAACAAAGACACCACAAAAUGAAGGCCGAAACUCUAAUGCUUUAUUUCGUAAUUUCAAAUCUUUAAAUACAAAAGAUUCAUAACAGAAAAUAAUGACAAAUAAACUUACCCAUUAAUUUGUAACAGUCCAUAAACUCACAUACAACAUGAAAUUGUAACAGAUACAACAGUAUAAAUUCUACCAUAAACUCUAAUAAAUUAUAAUAAAUAUAGGUACUGAUUCACAUUCUGAACAUGCUGCAUAGGACUUUCAGUUAAUUACAUUUUGUUGGCUUCUUGUUUGAUGAGGGAUUGGAUAUUGCAGUAACCUGCAUACAAUUCAAUCCUAUCCACGAUGAUUAUUUCAUCAGUGGUUCGCUCGAUGCUAAGGUCAGAAUAUGGAACAUCCCUGAACGCCAAGUCGUGAAUUGGACUGAUAUCCACGAAAUGAUUACUGCAGUGUCUUAUACACCUGACGGUCAGGUAUGGUACCAUUUCCUAUUUGGAGUUAUAUCUUCAUAUAAUCAAAUAUCUAAUUAUAUAACUCCAAGAGAAUCUUAGUUUGCCUUAUGUGGAAAGAACUUGCCAUAUCAAUGUAUAAUUGUUAAGUUAACUUGGUUAAGCAAAAUAAAUAAAAUGAUAAACUAAAUGCAAAUAACAAUUAUGCAUUGGUUUCGAUCCUUGUUCUUAUUUGCUCGUUAUUAUUAUUAUUAUUGUAGGGUGCUCUGGUUGGUUCCCUUAAAGGGAGUUGUCGUACAUAUAGGACAGAAGGUAUUAGAUACUCCACUAGUUUAUUCUUUAUAUUUUUAUUUCUACUAGAACCAUCUUAGAGUCUAAUUAAAAAUUUACCAUAUCGUCCAACUCAUAAUUUAAGCUCAUUAAAUCAAGUUGUUAAUUUCCCAUUUCUUUACGGUGAACCAGAUUGCAUACUAACUCAAACUGGCACAAUUGAGAUUCGACACAAGAAGAAAUCCCAACUACGAAAGGUCACUGGUUUCCAGGUAAUUCUUAUCUCCAUGUGCCAUAAACCGGAUUCGGUUUGAUGUAAGGAAAGCAAAUUUACUGGCUUUGUAUCUUUACAGUUUGCUCCAGGCAAACCAUCAGAAGUUCUUGUCACUUCAGCCGAUUCCAGGAUAAGAAUUUUGGAGAGUUCAGAGGUCGUUCAAAAGUACAAAGGUGCUGCAUAACAUCUUCUGCUAUGUUCCGAAUUUGUUUUAGUACUACAGAAAGAUUUUGAUAGCUUAUGCCUUAUGACAUUUGUCAUACAAAAAUUGCAUUAAAAAUUAUAAGCUUAAAUAUGUAUUUAAUCCCUAAUAAAUAUUUAAUUUUUGUAUUUGUUUUCUAAUAAAUUUUUGUUUUACAUUGAAUCCCUAAUAAAACAACUUUAUUUUUUGUCCUUAAUAUUUUGUUUUAAUAUCUGAUAAAUUAACGAAUUUUGUGUUUGCUCUCUAAUAAAUGAGCAAAUUUUAUUUUAGUUCCAACUAAUAAAAUAUGAAAAAACAUAUCAUGGAAAAAAUAUAAAAUUCAUCAAUUUAUCAUAGACUAAAAACUAAAAAAAUGAAAAUGAUCAAAAAUAAAAUUAUUAUUUUAUUGGAAAUUCAAUGCAAUACAGAUAUUUAUUAAUAAACAAACACAAAAAUCUGAUAUUUAUUAAGGAUCGAAAACAUUUUUAAAUCAAAAUUAUAACUUUUGUUUCUGCAUGAUAUCCUAUAUUGGUGUUGAACAUCAACAGGUUUUCGAAAUGCAAACAGCUCAAUUGCAGCUUCAUUUAGUCCAGAUGGGAGAUACAUUAUAAGUGCCAGUGAAGAUUCUCAAGUAUAUAUCUGGAAGCAUGAAGAGCAUAGAAGUGGAGGCAGUGGAAAGGGUAGAAAUGUGCUAGUUACCCGUUCUCACGAGCACUUCCAUUGUAAAGAUGUUUCAGUAGCAAUACCAUGGCCGUGUACCAUAAGAGGUGAUCCUCCUCUAGUGCCAACACAUCAUUCCAAAAGACAUUCAAAACGUUCUCAGGCACCUUCUAAUUGCAUAGAAGACACAUCAUCGCCAUCUGCUACAAACAGUAAGAGAACGCUUCCACCCCUUCCCAACAAGAAGAGUAAUAAUAACCAUGCCACAGAAGGUGCUUCAAAUUCCCCAAGGGAAGACCCUGCAGCAAUUUCACACACAGAAUCCGGACUUAAUGAUUCGUUUGUAAACAGUAAGAGAAUGAUGCCACAAUCUCCGAUGAAAGCUAACUGCCACACUGCAGGGGAUGAAGACAUCGAAGCAAUUUCACGAACAGAUUCAGGAUUUAGUGAUUCAUUUAGUUCUGGCUCAUCCUCAGUUAGGUGUGGUGAUUCACCUUCUUCAUCAUGGUCCUCUUCUUAUUCAUUGUUGGACAGUAGCCAUGUUUCUUCCACAGUUCUUCCUUCAGCAUGGGGCUUGGUAAUUGUCACGGCUGGGUUUGGAGGUGAAAUCAAAUGUUAUCAAAAUUUCGGGUUGCCUAAAAGGAUGGGUAGGCAACCCCAUCUUUUUGGAGGCCAUAACAGUUCUUCUCAUGGCAACACCUAGAAGAUUUUCUUUUUCUCUUUAUUCAAAUUUAAAUGUAGGAUUGACACAUGAUGAAAUUCUCAAUUUUUCUUGAUUAUUUUUUUGGUCUUAAACUCUCUGGUUCAUAAGGGGAAAUGAACCCUAACUAAUCCGAAAUUUGGUCAUGAGAUAAGUAAAACCUGACUAAGAAUUGUCGAUCAACCUUAACUUUAACACAUUAAACACUUAUACCCAAUUACUUGAGAUUGUAGCAUUUAGUGGCAAUGUUGAUACAUGUAUACCUCUGCAUGGCAAUAACUUCACAUUGUUGUAAACUAUAAAGUUAGUGACAAAACCGUUGUAGAUGUAUACAAGAAAUGAAAAUUACAUUCAAAUUUUUUUAGACCAGAGACGAAAAAGUGAAAACUAAAAAUUCCAGACAUCAAACAUUUUGUUCAGUUCUCGUGAAUUUGUAUCUCAAACAGAAUUUGUACAUGUAGCUCAAUGUGUGCUUGAUAUCCUUAUAUUGUUGUAUAGUAAGUGAGCGACAGAAAAGUUAAUACAAAAAUAAGUAUACAACAAUGGAAGUGAUGUUGAAAGUUGACAUACAAAGGGGGUAGGAUUGAAGAUUGGAUAAAUUACAAAGUACUGUUUCUUGUACUUUCUACCAACAAUAGGGUGUGGAUACUCAGAAUCUGCCUAAAUUCAUUUGGUCCUACUUCUACCACAUCAAUCCAAGUAUCUAUUCCCUACAACUUUCUCGACUUGAUGAUAACUAGUUUAAUUUAUUCAAAUCUACUUGCCUAUAAAAUUGUUUUCUUCUUUUUCUUUUCAUUUCACAUCCCUUGAAAUGAACAAUGUUUUUAGCGGAAAGGAAUUCUUGUGAAGUAGCAUGUCUCUAUAUUGUACACUUAUAAAGGAAAUGGAAAAAAAAGGGAGCGUAGCUGUUGUCACUUCCUGUUUAAUUUAUCUCAACUUGUAUAGAUGGAAGAAAAUUUCCAAAUAAGUUUCCUUAUUGAUUAUGGACUCUAUCUGCCGGGUAUAGUCUAAAAUUUUCACUAAAAUCCGUCUCAGAUGUGACUGCUUGAUAGGAGCUAUCUUAGUUUGGCAACAAGAUUAUUUGGUUGAGACUUGAGAGAGUUACAUCUGACCAAUGGUCUUUUCAAUCCUCCUGUUCCUUUUCACCAACUCUAAUGCGACCUUUCAGGUAUUAUUUGCAAGCACAACAGUUUUUUGUUUUUUGUUUUACUAUACUAUUGGUAUGAAGUAAUUCUCGUUAGAAAUAAUGACUAAUUUUCAUCACAGACCAUGAGCACAUACAAGGUGAGUAUUCUCCUCUCAACAAGAUUUAUUUCAUAUUCAAGGAUCAACCAAAAUUAAACCCUAAAUCAUUUGCUUAAGGGAUACAAAUUGCUACCACUUAUGCUAAUCAUUGUUGAUUCAUGCACAACAGUUUUAAACAUGUUCUGAACGGGAAUUUCAGCUAUGAUAAUAAGAGGAAUAAAGUUUAGUGGUUGUUUGACUUUCAAAGGAAAUUGAAUUUCUUCGACACCACUCUAAAGUAGUUCUAACAACUGAUCUCAUGAAAACACAGAAAAUAUAGAUUUCAGUUUCUAGUUGAAUCAGACAAUGUAGCAACACCUAAUCAAACAAACCAACAAUGUUCUUUCAUCCCUCUAUAUAUAGCUUACAACUUAGCCAAUUGAAUACACAAAACAGAACAAACGCAACAGUUUCAUUAUCGAACAUCUCAUAGAAUUUCUAAUUUGUCUAUCCAUUAGCAUGUUUUCAGCAAAAGAGAAAAAUGGGCGUUGACCAUCUUUCUUCUCUUAUAUCUCAACCAUUCUUUCUUUUCUCAUUGAAUAUAUUUUGUCUUCAUCAACUUGCACUAGCUGGCACUAUCAGGCACUAUCAUUUUGAUGUACUUACUCUUUUAAGAGAAUCAGUUCCUCUAUUCUCUUGCAAUUUCAUCAAAACCAUAUUCACAUCACAGACAUAAAUAUAAAUAGAUUGCAUUCUACACUUACUCUCUUCUACCCCCUUUUUUUUAUCUAAGGUACUGGGUUACAGAUGCAGAUAAAGUACCAAAAUGAGACUAAUGACUAAUGAGAAUCACAUAACAUUGACUUAUAACAUACCAUGGUACAAAGUACUAAUCUUAAGUUGAUACGUCACUACUAAUUACUAUUUUCAGGAUAAUGAUGGAAUUCUGAUAACACAAGCCUUCCAAAUGUCUCUGAUUCCUACACUAUUGAUGUACUACCAGGGUCAUUCUUAUAACAUGUUACCUAAAAAUGCCACACACCAGUUGUGUGGAUAAAAUUGUGGAGAAAGAACUUAAACUCACCAGUACUUUAAGAAACAAGCAUAGAUGACUCGAAUUUUUAAUAAGAGAAGUGCUAGUAAUACAUUUUCUAAUACACUUUCAACUUAUCUGUUGAAAAAAUUGUGUUGCUAGUGUUUCUCUUUUAAACGAAAUUAACACUUCUUUUAUCUGCAAGUUUUGUCUUAAUCAAACAGAAACUAUAUCAACUAAAACGAGAUAUUUCUAAAUUUAAUAUAGAAGAUUGGACUAUGGCAGAUACAUUCAAGCUUGGGAAGAGAUACCUUCUCUGUUUGAUCAAUGUUGCACUCAAUGAUGAACUCUUAUUCAGCAUUGCAAAUCACAGCCCUCAGUCGUUGAAGCAGAUCCCAUUUAUGCCAAACCAUUUGAGACCAACACUAUUCUUAUAGCUCCUGGACAAACCACUAAUGUUCUUCUCAGAACCAUAUCUCAUAACCCAAUGCAACAUUCUUUAUGGCUGCUAGGCCAUAUGUGACAACUCCACUGUUACCGGUAUCUUGGAAUAUGAAAUUCCGUCACGCUUUCUUCACAAAACAACUUCCAUGAACAACCUUUCACUCUUUAAGCCUUAAUGACCUCCCUGCUCUUAAUGACACUUCAUUUGCAAUUGCAACAACCUUCACCCACAAGCUCCAUAGCCUUGCAACUUCACAGUUUCCUUGUAAUGUCCCCCAAAAAGUUAAUAAGCACUUUUUCUUCACCGUUGGUCUUGGAACGAGUCUCUGUCGAUCCGCAUAAUCAAACUUGCCAGGGACCUAAUGGAGCCAUGUGUCUAUCACACUCCCAACCACAACACUUCUUCAAGCCCAUUUUUUUGGGAAAUCCAAUGGAAUUUACUCACUUGAUUUUCCAAUUAACCCUUUAAUGUCAUUCGACUACACAGGCACCCCACCAAACAACACCAUGGUGACCAAUGGGACAAAGUUGGAGGUUCUUCCUUUCAACACAAGUGUAGAGCUUGUUAUGCAGGACACCAACAUUCUUGGUGCCGAAAGUCACCCUCUCAAUUUGCAUGGGUUCAACUUCUCUAUGGGUUGGCUAAGGUUUUGGUAACAUCGAUCCAUAUAAGGAUCCUGCAAACUUCAAUCUUGUUGGCCCAAUUGAAAGGAACACAGUGGGAAGUACCUUCUUGUGGCUGGGUCGCCAUUCGUUUCUUAGCAGAUAACCUAGGUUAGUGUCCCUUGUUUCUUGCUUUGCACAAAAC
rnacentral:lncRNA from 1 species